GAUGAAGAACCGCAGCGAAAUGCGAUACGUAAUGUGAAUUGCAGAAUUCAGUGAAUCAUCGAGUCUUUGAACGCACAUUGCGCCCCCUGGUAUUCCGGGGGGCAUGCCUGUCCGAGCGUCAUUGCUGCCCUCAAGCACGGCUUGUGUGUUGGGCCUCCGUCCUCCUCCCGGGGGACGGGCCCGAAAGGCAGCGGCGGCACCGCGUCCGGUCCUCGAGCGUAUGGGGCUUCGUCACCCGCUCUUGUAGGCCCGGCCGGCGCUUGCCGACACAUCAAUCUUUUUUCCAGGUUGACCUCGGAUCAGGUAGGGAUACCCGCUGAACUUAAGCAUAUCAAUAAGCGGAGGA
rnacentral:misc_RNA from 1 species